rnacentral:rRNA from 1 species
UUCGCUGGCGGCAGGCUUAACACAUGCAAGUCGAACGGUAGCAGGAAGAAAGCUUGCUUUCUUUGCUGACGAGUGGCGGACGGGUGAGUAAUGCUUGGGAAUCUGGCUUAUGGAGGGGGAUAACUGUGGGAAACUGCAGCUAAUACCGCGUAAUCUCUGAGGAGUAAAGGGUGGGACCUCUUGGCCACCUGCCAUAAGAUGAGCCCAAGUGGGAUUAGGUAGUUGGUGGGGUAAAGGCCUACCAAGCCUGCGAUCUCUAGCUGGUCUGAGAGGAUGACCAGCCACACUGGAACUGAGACACGGUCCAGACUCCUACGGGAGGCAGCAGUGGGGAAUAUUGCGCAAUGGGGGGAACCCUGACGCAGCCAUGCCGCGUGAAUGAAGAAGGCCUUCGGGUUGUAAAGUUCUUUCGGUAAUGAGGAAGGGAUGUUGUUAAAUAGAUGGCAUCAUUGACGUUAAUUACAGAAGAAGCACCGGCUAACUCCGUGCCAGCAGCCGCGGUAAA